rnacentral:rRNA from 1 species
UACGGGGGGGGCAAGCGUUGUUCGGAAUUACUGGGCGUAAAGGGCUCGUAGGCGGCCAACUAAGUCGGAUGUGAAAUCCCCAGGCUCAACUUGGGAACUGCAUCCGAUACUGGAUGGCUUGAAUUCGGGAGAGGGAUGCAGAAUUCCAGGUGUAGCGGUGAAAUGCGUAGAUAUCUGGAGGAAUACCGGUGGCGAAGGCGGCAUCCUGGACCGAUAUUGACGCUGAGUGAGCGAAAGCUAGGGGAGCAAACGGG